UUUUGUUGACUUUUAGAUACAGACGUAUUCACAAAUUAGUUUUAUUUGUGUUUUAGGUUGUGAUGGCGAAAUGUCCUCAACAUGUAACGUGACCGGAUGUCGGAAUGACCGCAGAGCUCAGCUGAAACGCAGGCAAAUUGAGAUGCCACACAUCUGGAAGCUUAGGUUCCUCAAAUCCAGACAUGAUGACAUUAAAGCCAGUCGUCUUUAACAGUAAUAGAGGAGAUAAGGCAUACAGGGUUUCCAAUGGUACAAGGGUCUGUAGUAAUCAUUUCAGGAAAGGCGAGUAUAAUAAAGGAGACGUGUCUUGCCUGUAUCUGYGGGGAUAUCCUGAGUGGGCCUCAUCAAGAGAGGAUCUUCGGAAAAAAAAAGCAGCGAGUCUGGAUGCUGCUAUUGUUCAUGAGGUGACGGCUCACGCUUUCCAGUACGUUCUUCACUCUGAGGCUACUGUGCAAGAACUGCUACAUAAGCUCCAAAAGAAGCAUAAUGAGUCUGGAAAGCAUUUUGAAACAGAUGCAGCUUUUUAAAAUGCUGAUCCUGAUGUGGUGUGCGAUCUGUUGUGUGACACUCUGCAUCUAUUCACAUCGACUGCCAAAUUACAGGAAGCUAUUGCGAURUACAAACAUGGUGUUUUGAUCAAAAAUGCAUCAAUCAUCAAGAAAACUAGGAAACAAAGUGUGCCUGCAACUCAUGGCUGUGAUACGAGUAUAGAACAGCAAGUAGAGGACAUGGUGAUUUCAUACAGUAUAUCAGAUUGUCAUAACUAUUGUUCAGUUCCUUAUGUUCAUCCACCAUCCAGUGACAAAGGAGGCAUGUCAAAAUUGAAGUUAAAGUUAUGCACAAAGAAAAUGGGUUUAACUAAGAAAAAAUUGUUGAAAUGGUCCGCCAGCGUACUCAAAGCAAAAGUGAUAGGGAUCCUCAAGGAGAGUAAAGAAUUGAAAAAGAAAAAUAAAUAUUUGGCAGCAAAUGUGACAUAUUUAGAGACUGAACUGAAACACAAUAGGAAUAUAAAUAGAAGGGUAUAAUUCUCUUGSUGACUGCUACAUGUUAGUUGUGCAGCUUGUGAAAGGAAUAGAAUCUAAUGGCAAAUUUAGACCAGGAGGUUUGUAUUAAAAUAUACAGUAUAUUUUUGAAAUCAGAACUAUAUUGGUAGUAUAUUUCUCAGCCUCUAGAGGGCACCCAUGCACUAGCUAACCCACUCUAAAGAAAAUUAACUUUUAACAUACUUAAAAAAAAUCAAACCUGCAUACAUAUAGCUAUCUAUUUUACUGUUUUGGUGGGGUGUAUAGAGGGGUAUGCUGUGAGUUUUUUUUAGCAUGAUCUUUAGCGUAUGAGCUGACCUGCUUAAAGGAGCGAAUAUGAAAAAUAUUGCAAAAAACCUUUGGAAAGAAAUUUUUAUUUUAGUAAAUGUUAGAGAAACUGUACACAGACUGUAUGAUGUCACAAUUUUAAUGUCAGUGGAUCGUUUUCAGUGUCAUACAUGUUACAAAUCCAAAGAGUAAAAAAAGUGCACAU